UCCCUGGUGGUCCAGUGGUUAGGACUCAGCACCUUUACUGUCGGGGCCCAGGUUCGAUCCCUGAUCAGGGAA